rnacentral:rRNA from 1 species
GUACCGGGAGAUAACCCGCGGAAACGUGGACUAACAUCCCAUAAGACUCUAGAGCCGCAUGACUUUGGAUUUAAAAUUCCGGUGGUACGGGACGGGCACGCGCGACAUUAGGUAGUUGGCCGGGGUAACGGCCCACCAAGCCGACGAUGUCUAGGGGUUCUGAGAGGAAGGUCCCCCACACUGGAACUGAGACACGGUCCAGACUCCUACGGGAGGCAGCAGUGAGGAAUAUUGGUCAAUGGGCGCGAGCCUGAACCAGCCAAGUCGCGUGAGGGAAGAAUGGUCCAUGGCCUGUAAACCUCUUUUGUCAAGGAAGAAUAAAUUGCACGUGUGCGAUCUUGCCAGUACUUGACGAAUAAGCAUCGGCUAACUCCGUGCCAGCAGCCGCGGUAAUACGGGGGAUGCGAGCGUUAUCCGGAUUUAUUGGGUUUAAAGGGCGCGUAGGCGGGACGCCAAGUCAGCGGUAAAAGACUGC